rnacentral:rRNA from 1 species
GACAGAGGUGCCGAGCGUUAGGCGGAAUCACUGGGCUUAAAGCGUGUGUAGGCGGGCCGUUAAGUGUCUUGUGAAAUCCCCCGGCUCAACCGGGGAAUUGCUGGGCAUACUGGCGGUCUUGAGCAGUCUAGGGGCAGAUGGAACAAGUGGUGGAGCGGUGAAAUGCGUAGAGAUCGGAAAGAACACCAACGGCGAAAGCACUCUGCUGGGCCGACACUGACACUGAGAGACGAAAGCUAGGGGAGCGAAUGGG